rnacentral:lncRNA from 1 species
UGGUAGUCUGAUACUGCCAUAUGGCUUUUUGCUUGCAUCUAGUACAGAUAAGGCAUCAUAGCAAAAACGAGAGCUGCUUUACAGUCCUGAACUUACCUCUUGAAAUGAUUCCACUAGAUUUUCAGCGUUCCUUUUUCCUCCUGGUUGCAGGCCAUAAGACCAGUGUUGAGCCAAGCAGAUUGCCACAGAUGCGGUGAACAGGAGGACACCGACCAAGAUCUUCCUGGACUUCUCCAUUCUGUGAUGAGAGAACAAAGCUUGUUUCUGAUCCUGUGUCAUCACAGCUCAACUUUUAUCUUACAGAAUCAUGGGAAAGCUUCUGGAGUGGACUUUCAGCUCUGACCUCCUGCACCCCGGUGGCACUGUGCCUUCGUGUGGGUCACAGCUGCGUUCUGAGCCCCUCAAAGCUCAUCACAAAGAGAUCUGACAUCCGAGACAUUUGGAUAGAGAUCUAAAUUAGGAUUUUUAAGCGGCCUUUCAGAGCUUUAGAAAUGCCUGAGCCUCAAAGGUUCAGUGAAAAUCCCUGCUGAUAUUUGACAGACGGGUUCGGUGCAGCCAGUUUCUGUUCUAAGAAGUGCUCUUUGCAGUGCUUUCUACUGCAGGUUCCUUCCAGUGCAAGCAUCUAUAAGGACUGAAAAGGUGAAAUGGAUAUGGCGUGCUGUUCAAGCACAUUACCUGUUUGCUGAGAGAGGCUGCAGAAUCGCUCCAACUCUUCCCCGCUGGAAAAUGUCCUCUCUGGGCCGCGGUCCCAAGUUACAUAAAGGAGGUGGGAGAGAAGACUACAACUGGUUCAGUUUGCCCACAAAUACUUCUACAGCCCCACGUAAUGGAAACCAACAAAGGACUCUGAUUUUGGCAGAGGCAGAGCCCAUGUGGAAGGCUGAUCCGAGGUCUGGGAGAGCUUCAGACAGAAGAAAUCAAAGAGUAGAGCUGGGCUUUGCAUGUGAC